AGAAACUAACAAGGAUUCCCCUAGUAACUGCGAGUGAAGCGGGAAAAGCUCAAAUUUAAAAUCUGGCAGUCUUUUGGCUGUCCGAGUUGUAAUCUAGAGAAGUGUUAUCCGCGCUGGACCAUGUACAAGUCUCCUGGAAUGGAGCAUCAUAGAGGGUGAGAAUCCCGUCUUUGACAUGGACUUCCAGGGCUUUGUGAUGCGCUCUCAAAGAGUCGAGUUGUUUGGGAAUGCAGCUCAAAAUGGGUGGUAAAUUCCAUCUAAAGCUAAAUAUUGGCGAGAGACCGAUAGCGAACAAGUACCGUGAGGGAAAGAUGAAAAGAACUUUGGAAAGAGAGUUAAACAGUACGUGAAAUUGCUGAAAGGGAAACGCUUGAAGUCAGUCGCGUCGUCCAGGGAUCAACCUUGCUUUUGCUUGGUGCACUUCCUGGUUUGAUGGGUCAGCAUCAAUUUUGACUAUUGGAAAAAGGUUAAGGGAAUGUGGCAUCUUUGGAUGUGUUUAUAGCCCUUGGUCACAUACAAUGGUUGGGAUUGAGGAACUCAGCACGCCGCAAGGCCGGGUUUUAAACCACGUACGUGCUUAGGAUGCUGGCAAUAUGGCUUUAAUCGACCCGUCUUGAAACACGGACCAAGGAGUCUAACAUGCCUGCGAGUGUUUGGGUGAAAAACCCGAGCGCGUAAUGAAAGUGAAAAGUUGAGAUCCCUGUCGUGGGGAGCAUCGACGCCCGGACCAGACCUUUUGUGACGGUUCCGCGGUAGAGCAUGUAUGUUGGGACCCGAAAGAUGGUGAACUAUGCCUGAAUAGGGUGAAUCCAGAGGAAACUCUGGUGGAGGCUCGUAGCGAUUCUGACGUGCAAAUCGAUCGUCAAAUUUGGGUAUAGGGGCGAA
rnacentral:rRNA from 1 species